rnacentral:rRNA from 1 species
GAUGAACGCUGGCGGCGUGCCUAAUACAUGCAAGUCGAGCGAACAGACGAGGAGCUUGCUCCUCUGACGUUAGCGGCGGACGGGUGAGUAACACGUGGAUAACCUACCUAUAAGACUGGGAUAACUUCGGGAAACCGGAGCUAAUACCGGAUAAUAUAUUGAACCGCAUGGUUCAAUAGUGAAAGACGGUUUUGCUGUCACUUAUAGAUGGAUCCGCGCCGCAUUAGCUAGUUGGUAAGGUAACGGCUUACCAAGGCGACGAUGCGUAGCCGACCGGAGAGGGGGAUAGGCCACACGGGAACUGAGACACGGUCCAGACUCCUACGGGAGGCAGCAGUAGGGAAUCUUCCGCAAUGGGCGAAAGCUUGACGGAGCAACGCCGCGUGAGUGAUGAAGGUCUUCGGAUCGUAAAACUCUGUUAUUAGGGAAGAACAAAUGUGUAAGUAACUAUGCACGUCUUGACGGUACCUAAUCAGAAAGCCACGGCUAACUACGUG